UUUUUGGGUAAACCGGCGUCUCACUAUACAUGGAUGUGAGUAUGCCACGAGCAAUCAGAAUACAAAACACGAUCGAGGCCAGUGCCAUCUCAUAAGAAAGCUCCGGAAUGAUAAGUUGCGGAGGAGGCGAUCCAGUCCGCCACACUGUUCGCCUUCUGAAAUAUAUGUGUAACCCAAAAAGAGUCAAGACUAUCCAGAAGGUGGCAUACAUUUCCGACUAGUAGGUGUAGAUCUGGCUUGACAUGCUCGCACCUAAUCCACUCAAUUACUGUGGCAGAAUCAUCCUCCAAAAAUAUCCGCUGAGUCUCCAAGUGCACAUAACUAUGGCCUUCAAUGAUCAAUUCACUCCUGAUCUCUGUUAUAUAGCACAGCCAUUUACACCACAAUCCAAGGGCAUCCCGUUAGAGUUCCUUUAUGUUGGCCCAAUAAUUUAUGAUAUAUAAGGAACCGUCACAUGCGCCGACAGUAAUUAUCAAACCACAUGGUCUCCUUUCUCAUCUCCUCCUCUUCUAAUAUCCCCUACAUCCUCAUUUCCAUCUUCAAUAAAUACAACAUCUUAUUUCAUCUUUAAACUUCCCUUG
rnacentral:lncRNA from 1 species